CCAACGAUUUUGUCUUAGUUUCGUCAUUCUGAAUCCAACGAGACCAUCCGCAAGGUCGUAGCUCUUACGAUAGCCGAGAUAUGACAUUUUUGAUGCCCAUUUUUGGCCGCAAAAACGGACGUCGAAAACGACUUUUUCAGGAUUUUCAAAGUGCUCUCAUUCCCUUAGUUCUGCUCGGAUCCUGUUAUAACCCGGUGUUUUCGUAAUCUAGGUGAUCCAAAUAAGACGCUGGUAUACUUAGUUUGAUUUCGAAAAAAAUCAAUUUUUGGUGAAAAAUUCGAUACGGGGGGGUAUACCCGAAAAAUGAAAAAACCCAAACUUUGAAGGUCGAUAUCUCGGCUUCUAUGGGAGCUAUCGGAAAAAUUCCAACGGUUUUGUCUUAGUUUCGUCAUUCUGAAUCCAACGAGACCAUCCGCAAGGUCGUAGCUCUUACGAUAGCCGAGAUAUGGCAUUUUUGAUGCCCAUUUUUGGCCUCAAAAACGGACGUCGAAAACGACUUUUUCAGGAUUUUCAAAGUGCUCUCAUUCCCUUAGUUCUGCUCGGAUCCUGUUAUAACCCGGUGUUUUCGUAAUCUAGGUGAUCCAAAUAAGACGCUGGUAUACUUAGUUUGAUUUCGAAAAAAAUCAAUUUUUGGUGAAAAAUUCGA
rnacentral:lncRNA from 1 species